rnacentral:misc_RNA from 1 species
GAUGAAGAACGUAGCGAAAUGCGAUAAGUAGUGUGAAUUGCAGAAUUCAGUGAAUCAUCGAAUCUUUGAACGCACAUUGCGCCCCUUGGUAUUCCAUGGGGCAUGCCUGUUCGAGCGUCAUUUGUACCCUCAAGCUCAGCUUGGUGUUGGGGCCUGCUGCACUGGCAGCCCUUAAAAUCAGUGGCGGCGCCAUCUGGCUCUAAGCGUAGUAAUUCUUCUCGCUAUGGAGUCCUGGUGGAUGCUUGCCAUCAACCCCCAAUUUUUCUAUGGUUGACCUCGGAUCAGGUAGGGAUACCCGCUGAACUUAAGCAUAUCAAUAAGCGGAGGA